UACGUAGGGACCAAGCGUUGUUCGGAUUUACUGGGCGUAAAGGGCGCGUAGGCGGCGUGACAAGUCACUUGUGAAAUCUCCGGGCUUAACCCGGAACGGCCAAGUGAUACUGUCGUGCUAGAGUGCAGAAGGGGCAAUCAGAAUUCUUGGUGUAGCGGUGAAAUGCGUAGAUAUCAAGAGGAACACCUGAGGUGAAGACGGGUUGCUGGGCUGACACUGACGCUGACAGCGCGAAAGCUAGGGGAGCAAACGGG
rnacentral:rRNA from 1 species